GCAGACACAUUCCAGCCAAUCAGCAGCAGACCCUCCCUCCCAGACCCUCCCACCUCCUGGACAGCUCACUAAGAAUGCAGCUUCACAAUGGAUGCUGUCCAGGAGGUGGGAGGGUCUGGGAGGGAGGGUAUGCUGCUGAUUGGCUGCAAUGUGUCUC
rnacentral:miRNA from 1 species